UUGACUUGAAAUCAUUAGGUUAUCUUGUAUGUGGAAUGUACUUUGAUAUUGUCUUAUGUUUCCCUAGCCAAGGAUGUAUAAUAGGAAAUAUAUUGGGUAUAGCAUGAAGUAUAUAGAGAUAGAUGAAUGACAAAUAUUGGAUUCAUUAUUUUAAGUGAUUCUAAGGGGAAUGUCCCAUUGCAACUUAACAUGUAUUAAUUCAAGGAAAUCCUUCGUCAAGGUAGAAUGAAGAUUUAGAAAGGAGUUUCCUAAUUUCAUUAAUCAGUUAAUGACAAGCUUCAAGAGCUAACAUAGUUAAGACAUAUAUAAAGUAGACACUAAAUCAUGUUCUACAUCUAAUUGGGAUACUAGUUGAUUGAAAGAUUAAAUUACAU
rnacentral:lncRNA from 1 species